AGACGGUUCAGACUCGACGGAGAAGGCGGAACUGGCGGGGGAAAGUCACCUCUCUGCAAGAACACCAGACGACUGCGAUGGUCCGAUCGCCCUGUCUCCGUGUUCUUCUGGGGCUGCUGAUGCUGCUGACGCUCGCCAGUCGGAGCUCUGCCUUCCCCGGCUUCUAUACCAUUCCAGACGAGGACGGCGCUUCCAAACGAGAUGUCCUUUCUAUGGAGACCAAGUCAGACAGAUUCUUCUUGGGGCCCAGAUUCGGUAAAAGGAGUCAAGAAAGGCCAACAGAUAGCGAUAAAGCUGUAUCCGGGCCAUCAGAAGGGAUGACCGUUGAGCUGAGCGACGGCCUCUCGUUCACCUGUGUUGCCAUCGACCCGGGAAACGUGUACAGAUGCCACCGGUCAGGCGGAUCGCGCUAAAUCCGCCAGGGCCCGUCAGCCGUUGGCCGUUCAAGGGAGGCGAAGAAGAGCUGCAGAAGUGAUGCAGGAAAUCAGAGCCGGCCGGUCACGCCGUACUUACACCAUCAACGUGACAGUGCCGCCGUGACGACAACGUAACGACGCCAACUCAGUGUCAUUUUGUGAUAUCCCCGUGACGCCGCCGUGAUACUACCGUGACGCUGCCGUGAUACCACCAUGACGCUGCCGUGAUAUCCCCGUGACGUCACCGUGAUAUCCCCGUACCGGCUGUCGCGAUAUAUCCGUGACUCUGUCGUGAUAUCACCGUGAAUCUACCGUGGUAUUCCCGUGACGCUGCCGUCGGUGGGCUGCCACAGACAGGUGACGGUCACACCGAGUCUCCGGCAGCCUGUCACCGACCCCGGCACGACGUUCAUAUUCAGAGGCCCUUGUCUAUUUCUGUGCCGACGGCUCGACGGUCUGGUGC